CCUGGAGAAGCAGCUGUGGAAGUGACCCAGCGGAUUGCCAGAAUACACAGCAGGUGCUGCUUUGUGUGGCUUAAGGAUGGCUGGACCACGGCCUGCAGUUGCCCCAAAGCCUUGGCCUGUAGGAGAGAGCAGUGAUGGAUAUCUAAAUUCUUAACCAACACCACGGGACCACAAAGACUGGGAAACAGGCCUGUGUAGGAUCUGAAGGGAGAGGAGGUGAGUGCAGGUGAGUGAGGUCCUUCUGCUCUAUUUCAAUGACAUUACGACCAGAUUUCUUACAGUGCCCAGCAGUUCCUGCAUGGCCUUUCCCUGUCCAUGCUGCAGGCUCUCUCCGG
ensembl:lncRNA